UUGACUAGGCUAUGGAUUUUCAAUUUACGAGUCCAAGUAUUUUCACCCCUCAGUCAAAGUUAUGGAGAUGGAUUCUUUAUCCUAACGCCAUUCCCCGACAUUUGCCUUCGUGCUCGCUUCAUUAAAAAGCGAAGUAGUGCUGUAACAUCUAUUUCCCCAAUUGAAGAAGAGAGCUCCAAUUCUCUGUUUGACACUUCAAAUGACUCAUAAACUCACUGCGUUCUUCACAAAAAUCUUGCUUCCGUUCUUCAUACUGUCCACUCUCUCUCUUCCUAACAGAUAUUCAGCAGAUGCUUCUACAGAAACAGAAAAGACAUUGGCUAUAAUAAAGCCAGAUGGAGUUUCUGGAAACUAUACAAAUUCCAUAAAGGAAACAAUUCUUGAUCAUGGAUUCAAAAUCACUGAGGAAUUGUUCAUUCAGCUUGACGAGGAUCAUGUGAAAAGCUUUUAUGCUGAGCACUCCUCAAGGAGCUUCUUUCCAAGCCUUGUUGAGUACAUGGCCAGUGGUCCAGUGUUGAUAAUGGUUUUGGAGAAAGGGAAUGCCAUAGCUGACUGGCGUGCAUUAAUUGGUCCAACAGACCCACUCAAAGCAAAGGUUACUCAUCCUUACAGGUACCUUCUCCUCUCUUCCUUUUUUAUUUUUUAAAAUUUUCGGCUCUGUUAUUAUUACAUAGGUCAUACAAUUAGAAGAUUAGAAAGUUAAAUAGAUAGUUUGUCUUACUUACAAAAAAAAAAGGGUACUACCGCAUUUCUCAAAGAUUUGCUUUUGAAAAUUGAAACGUUGUAAUGUAUGUGCAACUCUCGAUUUCCCUUAGUCUGAGGUUGCGUUUCUGCAAAGAAGCUGUCUCCUUCAUGGCAUUACUUUGUAACAUUUACUGAUAUUCUUGCAAAUUCUGAAUCUUCUCCUCCCACAUAUGUUAAAAGUUUAUCUAAAACAGCUAGUUGCUUCUUUUCUAUGUUAUUAGCUUUUACAAGUUUUGUUUUCCUACCUUACAAGAUGUUGAAGUUGUCGGUAAUGCCUAUGACUUUAAUGACCCCAUACAUAGUUAAAGGAAUUCACAGUCUAAGUUACUUGUAAUGGCACCUACGUGGUGCUGUUUUCAUUAAUAUACGUACCCACAACAGAAAAAUAAAUUAAUAAAUAAAAUGUACCAGUGUUAUUAAAAGCGCUCGCUUCUUGCUUUAAGCGAUGAGGCGAGGCACAGGGUUAGCGCUUUUCUGCUAAAAAAGCGACUCACAUUCAAAAAGCGUGAGCUUUUCUUGCUUAAGCGAGAAGCGAGCCGAUAGAAAAAGCGAGAAAAAGCGUGCUUAAGCGAGCAGAAGGCAUCAGCUAGGGUUUUUAUAAAAAAAUUUGGCAAAUAAACCAUCUGUGAACAAACAAACAUACGCGACUUUUUCUCCAGCGAACUCCAGCGACGACCACUGCUGCUUCAACGACUUCUUCUCCAGAUCUCGUGUUAGAGCUAUAUGUGGGCUGGAUUUACAGAAGAAUUGUGUUCAUGGUUCUGACUCACCUCAGUCUGCAGCCCAGGAAAUAACUU